rnacentral:lncRNA from 1 species
UUAGCCUUUUGGAUUCACUUCCAGUGCCAGAGAGUUUCAUCCUCAGUGGGUGCAUGACUCCUGGUGAGUAGACUUGAUUAGUCCUCUUGCUGUGAUAGAACAUGAGCAGUUAUGUUCUUAUCCAGGAAUCUUACUAUAUUACUCUAUCUCAAAAAAUCAAAUCAAGGUAACUCACAUUUUCUUGAGGUCUAUUGCCUAGAAUCCAAUUUUUGUAUCUAAUUUUGUCAUAUUUCUUUGGUUGCCAUCAACAGAAACCAAUUAUGCUUAAGGAGGGGGAGAAUACAUUUUUUAAAAAUGUGUAGUUCACAAAAUCAAAAACUAAGAACUAAAUCUUAGACCAGAUCAAAAUCAGAAUAGUUUCAAGUAUUUUAAUGGCACUAUCUUCAAAUUU